AUGGAUGACACAUGUCAUUUAUUUGAAAGGGGCAAUUGCUCCACUACAAGAUGGACCUGCGUUGUAUUAGCUAGUAGGUGAGGUAAUGGCUCACCUAGGCGACGAUACAUAGCCGACCUGAGAGGGUGAUCGGCCACACUGGGACUGAGACACGGCCCAGACUCCUACGGGAGGCAGCAGUAGGGAAUCUUCGGCAAUGGGGGCAACCCUGACCGAGCAACGCCGCGUGAGUGAAGAAGGUUUUCGGAUCGUAAAGCUCUGUUGUAAGUCAAGAACGGGUGUGAGAGUGGAAAGUUCACACUGUGACGGUAGCUUACCAGAAAGGGACGGCUAACUACGUG
rnacentral:rRNA from 1 species